UGACAAAGAAAAGAAGGAACAAUGGUC
rnacentral:piRNA from 1 species